rnacentral:lncRNA from 1 species
CAGCUGCCAUGUCAUAAAAAUUUUCAACAUACACCAUGGAGACACCCAGUUGGCCUUCAGAUCCGGACUGGAACCUAUACCAUCAGCUGUUUGGCUCCAGACAUUCAAACUACACUGCGGGACUUUCCUGGGUCUCCAGUUUGCAAACAGAUAAUGGGACUGUUCACACUACAUAAUCAUUUAAAUAUGCAGACUGUUCAAUGCCAUCCUCCAGACCUACUGAUUCAGAAUCUGAGAUCUGAAGUGCAGGAAUCAGCAUUGUUGAACAAAUCCUUCAAGGUAGUGUAUACACAAUAAAUUCUGAAACUCACUGAUUUAAGAAAGAGCAAAAAUCCAAUGAAAAUAAUUCAGGUAGAAAAAAAUAAAGAGAUUAGGAUAUAGCGAUCAAUUUUUAAAAAUUACCAUUUGUUGACAGCACAUAUGAAAUGAGCAGAAAGGCUUAGAGAAGUAUAGCCAAUGUCUCUGUUACAAAGACACUAUAUGAAAAAUGCUCAUAUUUUAACUAUCCUAAACACCGAGUAUUUAAGUCUAUUCUUCCUGGCUAACACUUAAAAGUUCAAUAGCAGGAAGAAUGGGGGUGCUGGAAUAGCCAGCACUGGAUGAAGGAAUGUUUUUAUUCUGAUUAUUAUGAAGUCCUACUUUUAAAAAUAUAUUUAUACAUUUAAAUGGUACAAUAUCCUGGUGUUAAAACCUUAAAAGGAACUUAAAAUAUCUUUUCGUAUUAAGCUACACAAAACUGACGAUUUUUAAUAAAGAUGUAAAACUUGUACACAUUUAAAGUUCCCAUUUAUAGUUUACAUUUAUGGCACACUUUUAAACCAUUCCAGAAGGCAUGACUUUACUACUGGGUUAGACAGAGUUCCAUAUUUCAGAUAGUUCAUCAUUAAAAAUUAAAAAAAAAAAAGCCCAAAACAAUAAAACCCAAAGAAACAGAUGCUCAAAGCAUUAGUGGAUUACUUCCAAAAAGACUCCAUAAUAACCCAGUUGGCCAAUGAAUGAGGGAGGCGAAAAGGCAGGGCGGUGGAACUAAACCUUAUCCCUAUUGUUUGCAAACUAAGACCCUAGUUAAUCACCACCGCUGUUACCACAGCCGGUUUAAAUAGGAGUCUCGGAUUUUUGCGGUACAUGAAAAAUGUCAACCGUGAAAGAAAAAUAUCCGGGUUUUAAAUACAAAGGACACUCGAAUUUCAGUUUAAAUCCCACUCAGGCAUUUCAAAGACUGUCACUUCCCUGCAGUCCAGAGUUAAUCAAGGUUGCCCGGGUAUCUCUCUCAGGAGGAACGCGGAGCCACGUAGAGCAUCUUUUCAUUCUAAACCCGCCCCAACCUUCCAUCUUUCAUUAAAAGAGAUUUGUUUAAACGUGGCAACGCCUUCACAGUGAGAUUUAACUACUGUUAAAAUUUCAGCAUUCGAGCCGAAUUGGUGGAAAUAAUAAACUACGGGUUUAAAAAAAGCCACGGAGGAUGCGUAUAAACAAGGUUUACUCGCGGGGGACCGGCAGGGCCUCCGAAUCCUCAACACUGAGAGCUGGCUGGCGUGCGCAACCGUCGAGAGCGCUGGUCCAGCAAACGCCCCCAGUGCCCCGAAUUCCCUUAGUCUCCAGGCCGGGCCCCAGCACCAGACGUCCCCAAAAGCACUGCGAGGCCCCGGCUGCGACGUCCGGCCUCCUGACACCCUCUCCCACCCCACGGUCCUGCUUCUCUCUCUGGAACGUUCUGCGUCUUCCCGUUCCCCAUUU